rnacentral:rRNA from 1 species
UACGGAGGAUCCGAGCGUUAUCCGGAUUUAUUGGGUUUAAAGGGUGCGCAGGCGGCGUGUCAAGCAAGCGGUAAAAUAGCGGGGCUCAACCCCGUCGAGCCGUUUGAACUGGCGCGCUUGAGUUCAGGCGAGGUAGGCGGAAUUCGUGGUGUAGCGGUGAAAUGCAUAGAUAUUAGGAAGAACACCAGUGGCGAAGGCGGCUUUCUGGACUGAAACUGACGCUGAGGCACGAAAGCGUGGGGAGCGAACAGG